rnacentral:rRNA from 1 species
CCUACGGGCGGCAGCAGUGGGGAAUAUUGCGCAAUGGGCGAAAGCCUGACGCAGCGACGCCGCGUGAGGGAUGAAGGUCUUCGGAUCGUAAACCUCUGUCAGCAGGGAAGAACGGCCACUGUGCUAAUCAGCAGUGCAUUGACGGUACCUGCAAAGGACGCACCGGCUAACUCCGUGCUAGCAGCCGCGGUAAUACGGAGGGUGCGUGCGUUAAUCGGAAUUACUGGGCGUAAAGCGCUCGUAGGCGGUAUGUCAAGUCAAGGGUGAAAUCCCCGCGCUCAACGUGGGAACUGCCUUUGAAGAUGGCAAGCUGGAGUGUGUGAGAGGAUAGUGGAAUUCCAGGUGUAGGAGUG